rnacentral:rRNA from 1 species
UACGUAGGCAGCAAGCGUUGUUCGGAAUUACUGGGCGUAAAGAGUGUGUAGGCGGUGUUCUAAGUUUGUCGUGAAAUCUCCCGGCUUAACUGGGAGGGUGCGGCGAAAACUGGAAUGCUAGAGGAUGGGAGAGGUAAGCGGAAUUCCUGGUGUAGCGGUGAAAUGCGUAGAUAUCGGGAGGAACACCGGUGGCGAAGGCGGCCUUCUGGUCGGAUACUGACGCUAAAACGCGAAAGCGUGGGGAGCAAACAGG